rnacentral:rRNA from 1 species
GGUCAAGUUAUUAAGGGUGCAGGGCGGAUGCCUUGGCACUAGGAGCCGAUGAAGGACGUGAUAAGCUGCGAUAAGCUUCGGGGAGUUGCACGUAAACUUUGAUCCGAAGAUUUCCGAAUGAGGAAACUCACUUAGAGUAAUGUCUAAGUAUCAUUAAGUGAAUACAUAGCUUAAUGAGGGGAACUCAGGGAACUGAAACAUCUAAGUACCUGAAGGAAGAGAAAGAAAUUCGAUUCCGUAAGUAGCGGCGAGCGAACGCGGAUUAGCCCAAACCAAUAAAGUUUUCUUUAUUGGGGUUGCGGACAUAUCAUAACGAAGAGGUAUCGUAAUUGAAGAGGUUUGGAAAGACCCACCACAGAAGGUAAUAGUCCUGUAUGUUAAACGAGAAGACUUCAGAUAUGAUCCAGAGUACCACGGGACACGUGAAACCCUGUGGGAAGCAGGAGGGACCACCCUCCAAGGCUAAAUACUACCUAGUGACCGAUAGCGUAUAGUACCGUGAGGGAAAGGUGAAAAGAACCCCGGGAGGGGAGUGAAAUAGAACCUGAAACCCUGCACUUACAAGCUGUGGAAGCACAUUUCUUGUGUGACCGCGUACUUUUUGUAGAACGGGCCAACGAGUUACGUUAAGUAGCAAGGUUAAGCACUUAAGGUGCGGAGCCGUAGCGAAAGCGAGUUUUAACUGAGCGUUCAGUUACUUGACGUAGACCCGAAACCGGGCGACCUACCCAUGAGCAGGAUGAAGCGAAAGUAAAAUUUCGUGGAGGUCCGAACCCACGAGCGUUGAAAAGCUCGGGGAUGACUUGUGGGUAGCGGUGAAAUUCCAAUCGAGCCCGGAGAUAGCUGGUUCUCCCCGAAAUAGCUUUAGGGCUAGCCUCAAGGUGAGAGAUACGGAGGUAGAGCACUGAAUGUCCUAGGGGGUAUUGCACCUACCGAAGACUAUCAAACUCCGAAUGCCGUCAUCUUAUACUUGGGAGUCAGACUGUGGGUGAUAAGAUUCAUAGUCGAAAGGGCAACAGCCCAGAUCGUCAGCUAAGGUCCCUAAAUGUAAGUUAAGUGGUAAAGGAUGUGGGAUUGCACAGACAACCAGGAUGUUGGCUUAGAAGCAGCCACUCAUUCAAAGAGUGCGUAAUAGCUCACUGGUCGAGUGAUCCUGCGCCGAAGAUUUCCGGGGCUAAAACUUACUACCGAAGCUACGGCAUCAGUAAUGAUGGGUAGGGGAGCUUCCCAUACGGGUUGAAGCAUGACCGUAAGGACAUGUGGACAGUAUGGGAGUGAGAAUGUUGGCAUGAGUAGCGAGAUGUGGGUGAGAAUCCCACAGGCCGUAAACCCAAGGUUUCCAGGGGAAGGUUCGUCCGCCCUGGGUUAGUCGGGACCUAAGCUGAGGCCGAAAGGCGUAGGUGAUGGACAACAGGUUGAUAUUCCUGUACUACCGAUAACCGUUUGAGAGAAGGGAUGACACAGUAGGAUAAGCUAAGCACACUGUUGGUUAUGUGUGCCCAAGCAUUGAGGCAGUCAAAGUAGGCAAAUCCGCUUUGAUAAUGCUGGGAUGUGAUGGGGAGCGAAAUUUAGUAGCGAAGUAGCUGAUUUCACACUGUCAAGAAAAGUCUCUAUCGAGGUUAAAGGUACCCGUACCGCAAACCGACACAGGUGGGUGAGGAGAGUAUCCUAAGGCCAGCGAGAGAACUGUUGUUAAGGAACUCGGCAAAAUGACCCCGUAACUUAGGGAUAAGGGGUGCCACCAUCAGGUGGCCGCAGAGAAUAGGCCCAAGCGACUGUUUACCAAAAACAUAGGUUUCUGCUAAGUCGCAAGACGAUGUAUAGGAGCUGACGCCUGCCCGGUGCUGGAAGGUUAAGGGGAUCUGUUAGAGCAAUCGAAGCAGUGAACUUAAGCCCCAGUAAACGGCGGCCGUAACUAUAACGGUCCUAAGGUAGCGAAAUUCCUUGUCGGGUAAGUUCCGACCCGCACGAAAGGCGUAACGAUUUGGGCACUGUCUCAACAACAGACUCGGUGAAAUUGUAAUUCCGGUGAAGAUGCCGGAUACCUGCGACAGGACGGAAAGACCCCAUGGAGCUUUACUGUAGCUUGACAUUGGGUCUUGGUACUACAUGUACAGGAUAGGUGGGAGGCUUUGAAACCAGGACGCCAGUUUUGGCGGAGCCAUCCUUGGGAUACCACCCUUGUAGUACUGGGACUCUAACCAUAGACCAUGAAUCUGGUCUUGGGACACUGUCAGGUGGGCAGUUUGACUGGGGCGGUCGCCUCCCAAAAGGUAACGGAGGCGCUCAAAGGUUCUCUCAGUACGGUCGGAAAUCGUACGUAGAGUGUAAAGGCAAAAGAGAGCUUGAUUGCAAGACAUACAGGUCGAGCAAGGAUGAAAAUCGGACUUAGUGAUCCGGUGGUUCUGCGUGGAAGGGCCAUCGCUCAACGGAUAAAAGCUACCCUGGGGAUAACAGGCUUAUCUCCCCCAAGAGUCCACAUCGACGGGGAGGUUUGGCACCUCGAUGUCGGCUCAUCACAUCCUGGGGCUGUAGUAGGUCCCAAGGGUUGGGCUGUUCGCCCAUUAAAGUGGUACGCGAGCUGGGUUCAGAACGUCGUGAGACAGUUCGGUCCCUAUCCGUCGCAGGCGUAGGAAAUUUGAGAAGACCUGUCCUUAGUACGAGAGGACCGGGAUGGACGUACCUCUGGUGUACCAGUUGUUCUGCCAAGGGCAUGGCUGGGUAGCUAUGUACGGAAUGGAUAAGCGCUGAAAGCAUCUAAGCGCGAAGCCAACUUCAAGAUAAGAUUUCCCACCGCAAGGGUAAGACCCCAGAAAGACUAUCUGGUUGAUAGGUCGAAGGUGUAAGUGCAGCAAUGUAUUUAGCUUAUCGAUACUAAUAGGUCGAGGACUUGACCAA